rnacentral:rRNA from 1 species
AUUAUUUUUUUAGAUUAUUUUUUAUUGUUGAAAAAAUUAAAAACCAAUUGUUUUUUUCCAUAAUUAAAAUUUAUAAUAUUUCCAUUUUUAAUUUUUAGUUUUAAAUAAAAAUUACCAAUAUGAAAAAUAAAAAAAUUUUGUUAUAAAUUAAAUUAAUUUAUUUAUAUUAAAAAUCCUUUGCCCCCCUUUUAUUUUCUUUAUCCUCCCCCAAAAAACCUAACCCACCUAUAACUACCUAGGCCAACCUGAUAGGGCCCAGGCCCGCCUUUUAUGACCCAGGCCCACCAGAAUGGUCCAAGGCCAGCGUGAUUGGUCAAAG